UCAAUAGUGCUACUUUAUUAGUAUCUGUGUAUAAAUAAGAUGGAACAUACAUAUUCAUUCACAACAUCUUUAAAUAAUGAAGCUGUACAAAAUGAACAUGAGGAAAUUGAUAUCACCUCAAGUUCAGGAGAUUCCUUAUUAAUUGAUUUGGUGCGAGGAUAUCUUCAUCUAUAUGAUAAGUUAUCGUCCAAUUUUAAAGACUCAAUUAUGAAAGAAAAUUCAUGGAAUGAAAUUGGACAAAUAAUGAUGUGUCCACCUACUGAAUGCCAAAAUCGAUGGACUAGAUUAAGAGAAAGAUUCUCAAAAGAUAGAAGAGAAAUUGAACUGGAAUGUAAAAGUGGAAGCGGAUUAUCUCAACGUAAAGAUUUUGCUUUUUAUGAAAAUAUGAAAUUUUUAGAAAAAUACGUGCAAAGAAGAAGGUAUAUAAUAUGGUUAUUUAGAUGUAAUUUUUAGAUAUAACUAAAGUUUUUAGAGGAUUAGAGCCUUACAACUGACCUCUAACCAGUCACAAUACUUGAACAGUAGAAAAUCUCUAGGCACCGACCGCUGUGAAUCAAUUGCAACGUGAUCAAUUGCAACGUGAUCAAACGGAACGCUCUCGUUUUUAAAUAUGCUAUACUAAUAUGGCUAAAAAUGAAAAAAAUAAGAAGAAUAAAUUUCUUGACUAAUGUACUGCAACAUGAAAACGGAAGGCAAUCUAUAACUACAUUAAAUUUAUCUUGUAAUGUAAAAUUUUCUCCAGUAAAAUUAAGCUCUGCAUCUACAAGUAUUCCCUGCCAAUUAAAUAAAAGUUUUGGAAUAUUAUGUUCAUCUCGAAAAAUUGAAAACAAUGUGAUGCCAGAAUCACUAAAUAGUACAAUUUUAACAAGUGUUACUCCAAAGAAGUCUGAAGAAUGCUUAUCGGCAUCUUCAACAUCGUCAUGUGAUUUAACACAUUCAUCAUCAUCUAUUUUAAAAUAUGAUAAAUGUUUUACACCAGCAGUUAAAAAACAAAAAAUGGAAUCGGAUAAAGUUGAAAAAUCUAUCUUAACGUUAUCA